UACGUAGGGGGCAAGCGUUGUCCGGAAUCACUGGGCGUAAAGCGCGCGCAGGCGGUCUUUCACGUCCGGGGUGAAAGCCCAGAGCUCAACUCUGGGAUUGCCUCGGAUACGGGGAGACUUGAGGAUCGGAGAGGCAAGGGGAAUUCCACGUGUAGCGGUGAAAUGCGUAGAGAUGUGGAGGAACACCUGUGGCGAAGGCGCCUUGCUGGCCGAUUUCUGACGCUGAGGCGCGAAAGCGUGGGGAGCAAACAGG
rnacentral:rRNA from 1 species